rnacentral:rRNA from 1 species
GUGAGGAAUAUUGGACAAUGGGCGCAAGCCUGAUCCAGCCAUGCCGCGUGCAGGAAGACGCAUCUAUGGUGUGUAAACUGCUUUUGUACGGGAAGAAACACUCCCUCGUGAGGGAGCUUGACGGUACCGUAAGAAUAAGGAUCGGCUAACUCCGUGCCAGCAGCCGCGGUAAUACGGAGGAUCCAAGCGUUAUCCGGAAUCAUUGGGUUUAAAGGGUCCGUAGGCGGUUUAAUAAGUCAGUGGUGAAAGCCCAUCGCUCAACGAUGGAACGGCCAUUGAUACUGGUAGACUUGAAUUACAAGGAAGUAACUAGAAUAUGUAGUGUAGCGGUGAAAUGCUUAGAUAUUACAUGGAAUACCAAUUGCGAAGGCAGGUUACUACUUGUGGAUUGACGCUGAUGGACGAAAGCGUGGGGAGCGAACAGGAUUAGAAACCCCAGUAGUCC